CCUGGUGACCAUAGCGAGCUGGAACCACCCCUUCCCAUCCCGAACAGGACCGUGAAACAGCUCCGCGCCGAUGAUAGUGCGGAUUACCCGUGUGAAAGUAGGUCAUCGCCAGGC
rnacentral:rRNA from 3 species